UAUAUAAAUCCUGAAUUCAAAUUUCAGAAAUCCUUGUAUUGUAGUUCCUGAGAAAAAUGUGACGAAAAUUUUUAACUUGGCUAUCAUGUGUAAAAUCAGACAAGUGUUCGGUAAACAGGAAGUUGUCGAGUGAUGAAUCUGAAUACGCAUCACACGGUAUAGCUGACUUAUAUAAAUCCUGAAACCAAAUUUCAGAAAUCCUUGUAUUGUAGUUCCUGAGAAAAUGUGACGAAAAUUUUCAACUUGGCUAUCAUGUGUAAAAUCAGACAAGUGUUCGGUAAACAGGAAGUUGUCAAGUGAUGAAUCUGAAAACGCAUCACACGGUAUGGCUGACAUAUAAAUGUUGAUACCAAAUUACAGAAAGGGUGGAUGUGUAGUUCCUGAGAAAAAUGUGACGAAAGUUUCAUGGGACGGACUGACUGACUGACGGACGGACUGACGGACGGACUGAUGGACGGACGGACGGACUGACAGACAGAGGUAAAACAGUAUACCCCCCCUUUUUAAAAGCGGGGGUAUAAUAAA
rnacentral:lncRNA from 1 species